CGUCACUCGAAGCACGGCAUCUCUUACUCUUCUGUUCACCUCCUCAGGUCAAAUUCUAGUUUAGCAUGUGAAGCAGUUGCAGGCCCUUUGCGAUCCCUAACUUCAGUCAAUCUGUCCAGGAAUUCGGUCAGAGCGGAGCAACAGCAGAGAUAAAUAGACUGCUGAGGCAGUCUUCCUCGGCUCUUGAGGUAUAGGAAUAGGUAUAUUGCCACUUGCCUUUAUCCAUAUUUCUUGUUGAAGAUUAUUGAGGAAUAUGUGGACGUCAUUUCCUCUGGUAAAGAAGCAGGGUAUGAGUGCAUUGUCGAAUUUAUCCGUGGAUGAGAAGCUCCGCAUUAAAAUUGCAAAGAGUCAUUUGCUGCCAUUAAUUACUAAGUACCUUGAAGACGAGGAGGUAAGACUGAAGAAGCUGCAAGAGGCAUGUUGGCAAAUUUAGCUCUGUGCCAUGUUAACCACAGCAUUUCGGUUGAAGCAGGAUCAUAUAGAAUUGGCAAAGUUCUUAACUUCUGAUUCUGAAGGACCCAAAGUCAAUAAAAAGGCGACAAUCCAUUUUCUUGACCCACCAGCAUAGACAUAACAUGAAUGCUCUGUAACCUAUCUUCCUUGUUGUUUUAUGAAUUGAAAUGAAGCUUAUGUCCAUGAACCCCAUCUCCCUUUUGUUCCCGUGGUGAAUUCAUCAUUAAAAAAUUUCAUGAUAGUGUGUUGCGUGUAAAUAGUCAUGGGUUUUAUGGUGCAAGCCUAUUAUUCUUCAUA